rnacentral:rRNA from 1 species
GACGAACGCUGGCGGCGUGCUUAACACAUGCCAGUCGAACGGACAGGCCCUGCUUUUGUUGGGUGCUCGAGUGGCGAACGGGUGCGUAACACGUGAGUAACCUGACCUUGCCUUUGGGAUAACUUCAGGAAACUGGGGCUAAUACCGGAUAGGAGCUCCUACUGCUUGGUGGGGGUUGGAAAUUUUCGGCGGUUGGGGAUGGACUCGCGGCUUAUCAGCCUGUUGGUGGGGUAGUGGCUUACCAAGGCUUUGACGGGUAGCCGGCCUGAGAGGGUGACCGGCCACAGUGGGACUGAGAAACGGCCCAGAGUCCUACGGGAGGCAGCAGUGAGGAAUAGUGCACAAUGGGCGGAAGCCGGAUGCAGCAACGCCGCGUGCGAGAUGACGGCCGUCGGGGUGUAAACCGCUUUCGCCUGUAACGAAGCGUGAGUGACGGUAAUGGGUAAAGAAGCACCGGCUAACUACGUG